CCCUUAGAUGUUCUGGGCCGCACGCGUGCUACACUGAGUGGAUCAGCGGGUCAGGUUGCGCGAAAGUGUUUCCUAAUCUUGAAAUCCGCUCGUGAUGGGGAUUGACGGUUGCAAUUUUCCGUCAUGAACGAGGAAUACCUUGUAAGCGCGGGUCAUCAUCCCGCGCUGAAUACGUCCCUGCCCUUUGUACACACCGCCCGUCGCUCCUACCGAUUGAGUGGUCCGGUGAGGCUUUGGGAUCUGAGCGGAAAGAGCGUUUCGCUGUUUCUGCUCGUAAAACUCAGUCGAACCUUAUCAUUUAGAGGAAGGAGAAGUCGUAACA
rnacentral:rRNA from 1 species